AGCCUGUGAUGGUUGAAGAGUAGUGGACAGAAGGGAUUUCUGAAAAGUUUUACUCUGAGGCU
rnacentral:snoRNA from 1 species